rnacentral:rRNA from 1 species
GACGAACGCUGGCGGCGUGCCUAAUACAUGCAAGUCGAGCGGACUAGCGUUUUCUUCGGAAAACGCCGGUUAGCGGCGGACGGGUGAGUAACACGUGGGUAACCUGCCUGUAAGACCGGGAUAACAUUCGGAAACGAAUGCUAAUACCGGAUACGCGAUAUGGUCGCAUGACCGAACCGGGAAAGAUGGAGCAAUCUAUCACUUACAGAUGGACCCGCGGCGCAUUAGCUAGUUGGUGAGGUAACGGCUCACCAAGGCGACGAUGCGUAGCCGACCUGAGAGGGUGAUCGGCCACACUGGGACUGAGACACGGCCCAGACUCCUACGGGAGGCAGCAGUAGGGAAUCUUCCGCAAUGGACGAAAGUCUGACGGAGCAACGCCGCGUGAGUGAUGAAGGUUUUCGGAUCGUAAAGCUCUGUUGCCAGGGAAGAAUGCUUGGGAGAGUAACUGCUCCCAAGGUGACGGUACCUGAGAAGAAAGCCCCGGCUAACUACGUGCCAGCAGCCGCGGUAACAC